CAGGCCUAACACAUGCAAGUCGAACGCGUCCUCGUUAAAAUAAGUUGGUGCUUGCAUUAACUUAUUUUAACAUCGGGACGAGUGGCGAACUGGUGAGUAACACGUGGAUAACCUGCCCUGAAGUAUGGGAUAACAUUUGGAAACAAGUGCUAAUACCGUAUAAUUAGUAAAAAUCGCAUGAUUUCUACUUGAAAGAUGGUUCUGCUAUCGCUUUAGGAUGGAUCCGCGGCGUAUUAGCUAGUUGGUGAGAUAAAAGCCCACCAAGGCAAUGAUACGUAGCCGACCUGAGAGGGUAAUCGGCCACAUUGGGACUGAGACACGGCCCAGACUCCUACGGGAGGCAGCAGUAGGGAAUCUUCCACAAUGGACGAAAGUCUGAUGGAGCAACGCCGCGUGAGUGAAGAAGGGUUUCGGCUCGUAAAACUCUGUUGUUAAAGAAGAACAAGUGUAAGAGUAACUGUUUACGCUUUGACGGUAUUUAACCAGAAAGCCACGGCUAACUACGUGCCAGCAGCCGCGGG
rnacentral:rRNA from 1 species